rfam:Oryza sativa Japonica Group DNA, chromosome 9, cultivar: Nipponbare, complete sequence.
AAAGACCGAAUUCUUCGAUUUUCGUGUCUAACGUUUGAUCGUCCGUCUUAUAUAAAUUUUUUUUAUGAUUACUAUUUUCAUUAUUGUUAGAUGAUAAAACAUGAACAAUACUUUAUGCAUGAUUUAUCUUUUUAAAUUUUUUCAUAUUUUUUUCAAAUAAGACGAACGGUCAAAUGUUAGACGCGAAAACUCAGGAAUUGAGUUUUU